rnacentral:rRNA from 1 species
UUUAAUGGAGAGUUUGAUCCUGGCUCAGGACGAACGCUGGCGGCGUGCCUAAUACAUGCAAGUCGAGCGGGGUUAGUUAGAAGCUUGCUUCUAACUAACCUAGCGGCGGACGGGUGAGUAACACGUAGGCAACCUGCCCACAAGACAGGGAUAACUACCGGAAACGGUAGCUAAUACCCGAUACAUCCUUUUCCUGCAUGGGAGAAGGAGGAAAGGCGGAGCAAUCUGUCACUUGUGGAUGGGCCUGCGGCGCAUUAGCUAGUUGGUGGGGUAAAGGCCUACCAAGGCGACGAUGCGUAGCCGACCUGAGAGGGUGAUCGGCCACACUGGGACUGAGACACGGCCCAGACUCCUACGGGAGGCAGCAGUAGGGAAUCUUCCGCAAUGGGCGAAAGCCUGACGGAGCAACGCCGCGUGAGUGAUGAAGGUUUUCGGAUCGUAAAGCUCUGUUGCCAGGGAAGAACGUCUUGUAGAGUAACUGCUACAAGAGUGACGGUACCUGAGAAGAAAGCCCCGGCUAACUACGUGCCAGCAGCCGCGGUAAUACGUAGGGGGCAAGCGUUGUC